rnacentral:misc_RNA from 1 species
AAAGUCAUAACAAGGUUUCCGUAGGUGAACCUGCGGAAGGAUCAUUAGUGAUGCCCUCGGGCUUAACUAUCUACACACACACCGUGAACCGUUCCAUCUGGGUCGCAAGGCCUGGAUGCUUUAUACAAACUCUUUGUUGUCAUGAAUGUAAUAACUAUAACUAUUAAAACUUUUAACAACGGAUCUCUUGGCUCUC